rnacentral:lncRNA from 1 species
UUUGUUUGCUUGUGAAGCAGGGAACACUGAAACCCAAACAUGCAUGAGAAUUCAUUUUAUUAUUUCAACAUAGAGACGACCGUCCAACAAUAGUCUUUAGAGAGCUUUUUAGCAGCUAAGGUUAGAACCAGGGUCCACACCAAGCUGCUCACAAUACUCUCUAUAAUACCUAAUCCUUGAAUUCACCUUAUCUGGACUCGCACCGUCACAUUCUACUUUUCCAUUGAUGGCUCUAAUGGUGGCUCCAAAUCCUUGGCUCAGUACCGGCCUUACAUUAUUCACCCAAAACCACAAAGCUGUCCUGAAAGCUACAGUUGGAUCGCUACCUACGAGCUCCGGCUGGCUUAGAAGGUCGAGACCAAGACUCUGACCACAUGGUGCGUAGUUGUAGUUCCAUGAUAGUUGAAUCGGACCACGACCGUAGUAGUUUUUGCCAGCUGCACAUGGGUAUUGUGGGAAAUCCUUGUCGUUGCAGUAGUUUUGUGACGCUCCGUUUAUCUCUUCUAUGUAGCAGAAAUCUAUACGAUAUAAAGACGGACACAUGAGACCAUGUACUUAAUAAAGAAACAGCUUAAUUGAUUUGGAUCAAGUCAAAUGUUCAAUUUUUAAUAUUAUGACAAUAUAUAACACACAUAAAAAUCCAUAAUAGCAUUAAUUUAAGGGAAAAUAAAUAGUUACUCCAAACCUAAACUAUUAUUGUAAGCCUCUAAUUCCACCCUGUAGAUGUUAAACCUAAACCAUAAUCACUAAUUCUAAAUUCAAAUAUAAAAUAAUUAAAAGGCAAUUCUCCUAAAUAGACAAUUUUCAAGUUUUGGUCACAAAAAUAGACCGCAAAGAAGAAAAUGACCAAAAUAUUUCAUUUAAUAGGUAAAAUAAUACUAAUACCCUAGAUAUAAAAAAAAAUAAAAAAGAAAGAAUUUUUUUUUAAUAGUUUUAGAUUAUAUGUUUUCAAAUUCAAACUUUUUUAUAAUUUUUUUUUUUGAUUCCGCAAAUUAGACUCAUCAUACUCUCAGAUUCGAUAUUAAUUCAGAAGAAAACUCAUUAAAAGCGAAAAAGGCUUUUUUUUGUAUAAGUCGAUCAGAACCUGUCGAGAUAUCACAAUAACAUCACAGAAUGUUUCAGGGGAUUGACAGACCUGUGAAUUUUCUAUCGUCACCUCGACUUAUAAACCUAAAAUAAUUACUAGAAUAAAGCCCAAUCCAAUCAUAACAAAAAAAAAGUUUUAUCUUCUCAGUUGAAUAAGAAUAAAGAGCUCAGAACUUCUUAGAGGGAUGUGUUUAACCGUCAGCAAUGAAGACCAAAGCCCACAUCUCUGGCACACGAUUUCUUCAUCAUAGCUGAUCAUUUAAACGUGUUGUAACAAAAAAACAAUCGAAAACAAGACGGACACAAUCGGCUUUUUCUUCUUACAAGUUGUGUUGUACUGUGGGGCUGGUGUAUGUAUAUAUAUAUUAUUAGUCAAGACAAAACCCUAAUUGUAUUCUUCUUUUGUGGGCUUUUGAAUUUUAUCUAAUUUGUAUGGGUUUAUCUGCAAAUUUGAGUAAAUUACGAAAGGCCCACUCUCCUCCAUGGGUGGCUUUUAUGAUCACUUUCUCUUGGAGAGCAUAACCUGGGAUUAAGGAUGACUAACUUUCUAUCUUCCCUUAAUUAACUUUGGUAUGUGCGGAUAGCGAGAAAUAGUUUCUUUUGUUUUCCGGCAACACAGUGAUCAAGUCUCACAUUUCAAGCCAUGUAUUAGUUUUGCCAUCUUUUAAUUUAAUUUUGCAAUUCAGAUAAAAUUGAAGUUAUAGAGAAACCGCUGACGAGUAACGAGGAUGCAUCCACAUUUGAAGAUGGACUAGUACCUUAUGUUUUUUUAAAGAAAAAUUAGGAUUAAGCUUUUGGAAUCACACUAAAAUUAUAUAUAAAAAAAAAAAAUUAGGAUUGACUUUUCAAUUUAUUUGGUCAAAGUAAACUCAUACUACGUAAACGAUCAUGACACAUUCAUAGAUAUAGGCCCGGAUGACAACUUGAUUUGGUUUGCGAUAUGAUGAUAGCUGUAUUCUGAUUUUUUAUACAUAAUAAUGCAUGUGGAGCUUUUUUAUUGAAAAAAAAAACUUAUUAUAGCAUCAAAACAUAUUUAUAUUUUCGUUUAUCAGUCACUAGAAAACUUUAGAAUUUAACAUAUUUAAACUAAAACAAUUUAAAAAUAUAAUUUAUCCAAAAGUUACUUUUGAUAAUCUCAUGCAUUGUUGUAGUAACUUUUUUUUAGUUUGUACUAACUUUCAUAAGAUUAUUACAGCAAUUUUUGUUUGCUUGUGAAGCAGGGAACACUGAAACCCAAACAUGCAUGAGAAUUCAUUUUAUUAUUUCAACAUAGAGACGACCGUCCAACAAUAGUCUUUAGAGAGCUUUUUAGCAGCUAAGGUUAGAACCAGGGUCCACACCAAGCUGCUCACAAUACUCUCUAUAAUACCUAAUCCUUGAAUUCACCUUAUCUGGACUCGCACCGUCACAUUCUACUUUUCCAUUGAUGGCUCUAAUGGUG